CCGGUUCCGGUUCACGUGAACGAAAGAGCGUCACGACCCGGCGACC
rnacentral:ncRNA from 1 species